rnacentral:ncRNA from 1 species
UGAAGGUUUGGUCCCAGCCUCAAUAUUAGUUUUAACUUGACUUACACAUGCAAGUCUCAGCAUUCCGGUGAGAACGCCCUAAUCACCCCUAAAAUUUGAUUAGGAGCUGGUAUCAGGCACAUUCCAAGAACAGCCCAUGACACCUCGCUCAGCCACACCCACAAGGGAACUCAGCAGUGAUAGAUAUUGUUCUAUAAGCGCAAGCUUGAGACAAUCAAAGUUAUAAAGAGUUGGUUAAUCUCGUGCCAGCCACCGCGGUUAUACGAGUGACACAAAUUAAUAUUUCACGGCGUUAAGGGUGAUUAGAAAUAAUCUCAUCAGUAUAAAGUUAAGACCUCAUUAAGCUGUCAUACGCACUUAUGAUCGAAAACAUCAUUCACGAAAGUAACUUUACACAAACAGAAUUUUUGACCUCACGACAGUUAAGGCCCAAACUAGGAUUAGAUACCCUACUAUGCUUAACCGCAAACAUUGUUAUUAAUUAAUACUACCUUAAUACCCGCCUGAGUACUACAAGCGCUAGCUUAAAACCCAAAGGACUUGGCGGUGCUCCAAACCCACCUAGAGGAGCCUGUUCUAUAACCGAUAAUCCGCGUUCAACCUCACCACUUCUUGCCCAUCCACCGCCUAUAUACCGCUGUCGUCAGCUCACCCUAUGAAGGUGUAAUAGUAAGCAAAAUGGCCUACCCCAUCCCCAAUACGUCAGGUCGAGGUGUAGCGAAUGAAGUGGGAAGAAAUGGGCUACAUUCUCUCUUUAGAGUACACGAAUAGAAAUAUGAAAACCUUCUUAAAGGCGGAUUUAGCAGUAAGUAAACUUUAGAACAUUAUACUGAAACCGGCCCUGGAGCGCGCACACACCGCCCGUCACUCUCCUCAAAUAAAACACAUAUUCUUUCAUAAAAAAAAUUCUUAACAAGAGGAGGCAAGUCGUAACAUGGUAAGUGUACUGGAAAGUGCACUUGGAUUAAC